CAUACAUACAUAUAUAUAUAUACACACGCAUGAACAUAUUCACUGACAUACAUAAAUACGCACACAUAUACAUUCACACACACACACACAAACACACGCAUACAUGUUUGUGUGUAUAAACUCAUUAUGGAUCUAUGUUUAAUUUUGUUAUACAAGUAUUUCUUUCAGUGUACUGCUGUAAACAACAUUACCAACAGCAUUUCGGGCCCCUAACCCGGCUGCUCCCCACCCCCAUUUUUUCACCCCCUCCAAAAUAAUGUGACAAUAUUAUGAUGUGAUUAUAUUAUGACAAUACAUGAUUACAUAUAUAUAUGUGUGUGUGUGUGUGUGUGUGUGUGUGUGUGUGUGUGUGUGUGUGGAUAUGUUUGUAUAUGCAUAUAUGUAUGUGACUGUACCAUAUUUAUAGAUGCGUAUGUAUGUUUUUUCUUACAUGUGUAAACAUUUUCUAUGUGACUAUACACGUCAUUAUAUAUAUAUGUGUGUGUGUGUGAGAGAGAGAGAGAGAG